rnacentral:rRNA from 1 species
CCUACGGGAGACUGCAGUGGGGGAUAUUGCACAAUGGGGGGAACCCUGAUGCAGCGACGCCGCGUGGGUGAAGAAGCGCCUCGGCGCGUAAAGCCCUGUCAGCAGGGAAGAAAAUGACGGUACCUGAAGAAGAAGCCCCGGCUAACUACGUGCCAGCAGCCGCGGUAAUACGUAGGGGGCAAGCGUUAUCCGGAUUUACUGGGUGUAAAGGGGGCGCAGACGGCGAUGCAAGCCAGGAGUGAAAGCCCGGGGCCCAACCCCGGGACUGCUCUUGGAACUGCGUGGCUAGAGUGCAGGAGGGGCAGGCGGAAUUCCUGGUGUAGCGGUGAAAUGCGUAGAUAUCAGGAGGAACACCAGUGGCGAAGGCGGCCUGCUGGACUGCAACUGACGUUGAGGCCCGAAAGCGUGGGGAGCAAACAGGAUUAGAUACCCCAGUAGUC